GAUGAAGGUAGCGAAAUGCGAUACGUAGUGUGAAUUGCAGAAUUCAGUGAAUCAUCGAAUCUUUGAACGCACAUUGCACCUCUCGGUAUUCCGGGAGGUAUGCCUGUUCGAGCGUCAUUUGUACCCUCAAGCUCUGCUUGGUGUUGGGUGUUUGUUCCGCCUCUGUGUGUGAACUCGCCUCAAAACAAUUGGCAGCCGGCGUACUUGUUUCGGAGCGCAGCACAUUUUGCGAUCCAGAUCAACGUACAGCGGCAUCCAAGAAGCCUUAUUUAACGCUCUUGACCUCGGAUCAGGUAGGGAUACCCGCUGAACUUAAGCAUAUCAAUAAGCGGAGGA
rnacentral:misc_RNA from 1 species